AAAAAACAUUAACACUUUAAGAAUUCCCCCCCUUUCCUAUCCGGCCACUUGGUCUCUCCCGGAACCUUUAUCACCGUGCCCAUGCACCCGGGGGAAUCUUUUGGACGCGCACCCUGGAGCAGACACAGGACCAGACAGGCGGAGCCGAGUGCCGAGUGCCGCCCCUGGCCGAAGGCAUGCAAUCACCUAAUAAAUAACUUCAAUAAAAUAUACAAUAAAUAGAGCAAGUUCAAUAUCUGUAUCUUCAAUUAAUUAUCUUCAAUAAACUGUGCAAAUACGCAAUGUGCAAAUUGUACUGUGCAAGCCUUGGUAAAUAAAGUGCUAUCGUGACUAAA